GACGAACGCUGGCGGCGUGCUUAACACAUGCAAGUCGAGCGGUAAGGCCCUUUCGGGGGUACACGAGCGGCGAACGGGUGAGUAACACGUGGGUGACCUGCCCUUAGCUCUGGGAUAGGCCUGGGAAACUGGGUCUAAUACCGGAUAUGACUCCAUGACGCAUGUUGUGGGGUGGAAAGCCUUGUGCGGCUAGGGAUGGGCCCGCGGCCUAUCAGCUUGUUGGUGGGGUGAUGGCCUACCAAGGCGACGACGGGUAGCCGGCCUGAGAGGGCGACCGGCCACACUGGGACUGAGACACGGCCCAGACUCCUACGGGAGGCAGCAGUGGGGAAUCUUGCGCAAUGGGCGAAAGCCUGACGCAGCGACGCCGCGUGGGGAUGACGGCCUCGG
rnacentral:rRNA from 1 species